rnacentral:rRNA from 1 species
UACGGGGGGAGCAAGCGUUGUUCGGAUUUACUGGGCGUAAAGGGCGCGUAGGCGGCGUGACAAGUCACUUGUGAAAUCUCCGGGCUUAACUCGGAGCGGCCAAGUGAUACUGUCGUGCUAGAGUGCGGAAGGGGCUACUGGAAUUCUCGGUGUAGCGGUGAAAUGCGCAGAUAUCGGGAGGAACACCGAUUGCGAAGGCAGCUCGCUGGAACGUUACUGACGCUGAGACGCGAAAGCGUGGGGAGCAAACAGG